rnacentral:rRNA from 1 species
GAUGAACGCUGGCGGCGUGCCUAACACAUGCAAGUCGAGCGAACGGACGAGAAGCUUGCUUUUCUGAUGUUAGCGGCGGACGGGUGAGUAACACAUGGAUAACCUACCUAUAAGACUGGGAUAACUUCGGGAAACCGGCGCUAAUACCGGAUAAUAUUUUGAACCGCAUGGUUCAAAAGUGAAAGACGCUCUUGCUGUCACUUAUAGACGGAUCAGCGCUGCAUUAGCUAGUUGGUAAGGUAACGGCUUACCAACGUAACGAUGCAUAGCCGACCAGAGAGGGUGAUCGGCCCCAGUGGAGCUGAGACACGCUCCAGCCACCGACGGGAUGCAGCAGUAGGGACUCUGCCGCGAUGGGCGAGAGCCUGACGGAGCCACGCCGCGUCAGUGAUGGAGGGCCUCGGUUCGUAAAGCCCUGUUGUUAGGGAAGAACAGAUGUGUAAGUCACUGUGCACAUCUCGACGGUCCCUAAUCAGAAAGCCGCGACUAACUGCGU